rnacentral:rRNA from 1 species
CCUACGGGGGGCAGCAGUGGGGAAUAUUGCUCAAUGGGGGAAACCCUGAUGCAGCGACGCCGCGUGAGUGAAGACGUAUUUCGGUAUGUAAAGCUCUAUCAGCAGGGGAGAAAAUGACGGUACCUGUUUAAGAAGCCCCGGCUAACUACGUGCCAGCAGCCGCGGUAAUACGUAGGGGGCAAGCGUUAUCCGGAUUUACUGGGUGUAAAGGGAGCGUAGACGGCAGCAACAGUCUGGAGGUAAAUGCCGGGGCUUAACCGCGGAACUGCUUUGGAAACUGUGCAGCUAGAGUACAGUAGAGGUAAGUGGAAUUCGUAGUGUAGCGGUGAAAUGCGUAGAUAUUAGGAAGAACACCAGUGGCGAAGGCAGCUUACUGGACUGUAACUGACGUUGAGGCUCGAAAGCGUGGGUAGCAAACAGGAUUAGAUACCCUAGUAGUC